rnacentral:rRNA from 1 species
UACGUAGGGUGCGAGCGUUGUCCGGAAUUAUUGGGCGUAAAGAGCUCGUAGGCGGUUUGUUGCGUCGGCCGUGAAAACUCAGGGCUUAACUCUGAGCCUGCGGUCGAUACGGGCAGACUUGAGUUCGGUAGGGGAGACUGGAAUUCCUGGUGUAGCGGUGAAAUGCGCAGAUAUCAGGAGGAACACCUGCGGCGAAGGCGGGUUGCUGGGCUGACACUGACGCUGAAGCGCGAAAGCUAGGGGAGCGAACGGG